CAUGAACCGACCAUGUAGGCAGAAACCCAAUGAGGGAGCUGGGAGCAGAGACAGCGCUGUACUGUAAGAGCACCCAGAUAAUCUGGCAGCUGACUGAGAAAGGAAGGAAUGUACUGGGGAGGUAAUGAAGCAGCAAGCAGCAGGUGUGAGGGGAGGUUUAGUGGUGUAGGUGAUGUAACAGAGGGGAAAUGAGAAUGACGGGGUCUGAAAUGGCAGCAGAGGCUAAUGACUGAAGACAACGAGGAGCAGAGAGUGGACCCGCGCGUGGCCAGAAGCAACAACGCUUCCUGCACCAGCGUUUGUGUUCCUCAGAUAACAGGCCAUUUUCCAUUUUCAGAACAGCCGACCUUCAAGAAAGUCCAGUCGAAGCAGCCAACUCACAUGAGCCCACGACAGACUGGGCAGUCAUUCUUUAAGGUUGUGGAAGCUUCUCUCCAGGGGCUUGUGAACGUGGGAGCGAGGCUUGUUUCACCUCUAAGCUGAAGUGACCAGCCAAGAUGUUUGCUGGAGAUGAUGUUCUGUGGGAGCUGGUGUCGAAGGUGCUGCUGAGCGACGCCUCCAGCUGAGUGUCGCAGGUCGGAGCCUGGUGCAUCGCGUCCCCCUGGAUGAGCGUGACUGGGACGUGAGGCUGCGCUGGAUGGGAAGCCUGCAGUCAGGAUGCAGUCAACGGGUGCAUGGACAACAAUUGAUUAUGACAGAGUUGCAAUUUUGUUACUGACCAAUAGAUCUGCUAUUCAUUAUUUAGAAAAAACAUUAGGACGAUGGCCGUGAUGGUGAAGCUCAGAUGCUGCAGUUUCCUGUCAUUGACCGGCUGUUACGUCAGUAAACUGAUUAGAAGUGGUUUUGGUUUAUUAGGAGGUAAAUUGUGAGCAGGUUACUGAUUAGGCUUCUUCUUUGAGUAAUCAAUAUUCUCAUUGCUUGAAUUAGAGACAGUGUUGAAGAUGUACUCAACCUGCUUAAGCACCUGUAGAGGCCACGUUACGUUCUGGGCUGCAUAAAUGGUGCCUUUAAGUUCACUGUCAGAGUCCGAGGUUUCAGCUUCACCCCAGGUCAGGCAACACGUCAGCCUUCGUGGCAUUAAUGGAAGAUGGAAGAAGAGUCAUCGCAGCAAUGCUUUCUGCUGAACCGGGCCUGUUCACUGACCCGGCUCUAUGUUCACCCAACCCAAUGUUAAUUAAA
rnacentral:lncRNA from 1 species